rnacentral:rRNA from 1 species
ACGGAGGGGGCUAGCGUUGUUCGGAAUUACUGGGCGUAAAGCGCACGUAGGCGGCUUUGUAAGUUAGAGGUGAAAGCCCGGGGCUCAACCCCGGGUCGGCCGUGCGGACUGCCGCGCUGGAGCACUGUAGAGGCGGGUGGAAUUCCGGGUGUAGCGGUGGAAUGCGUAGAGAUCCGGAAGAACACCGGUGGCGAAGGCGGCCCGCUGGGCAGUGGCUGACGCUGAGGCGCGACAGCGUGGGGAGCAAACAGGA